GAGAGUCCGAGUCGGUAACGAUCACGAUCCGACGUCUCGGAUCGUUUCCUUGUCCGUUACGUAUUCUCCGUUCCUGACCGGCAAAAAUAAGCGCGUAGGUAUGAGCUCGGCUCGGCUCAUUCCCGCAACCCGCGGCGCGUCGUGACGAGGCGUGGCGUGGCGAGGCGGGCGGCGGAGGAGGAGUGCGCGAGGGCACCUUCUCUUCUCACUCUCCAAUAGCAUGUGGAAGAGAGACCCUUAUAAAGGGGUCCAAACUCUCCUCCACUAGCGGGGUGGGACUAAAC
rnacentral:lncRNA from 1 species